CCUACGGGUGGCUGCAGUCGAGAAUCUUCGGCAAUGGGCGCAAGCCUGACCGAGCGACGCCGCGUGCGGGAUGAAGGCCUUCGGGUUGUAAACCGCUGUCAGUGCGGAGGAAAUAUAGUGGGGUUCUCCCCAUUAUUUGACCUAUGCGCAGAGGAAGGACGGGCUAAGUUCGUGCCAGCAGCCGCGGUAAGACGAACCGUCCAAACGUUAUUCGGAAUUACUGGGCUUAAAGGGUGCGUAGGCGGUCCGGUAAGUUGGGUGUGAAAGACCUCGGCCUAACCGAGGAAUUGCGCCCAAAACUGUCGGACUCGAGCAAGGCAGAGGUGAACGGAACUAAGGGUGGAGCGGUGAAAUGCGUUGAUAUCCUUAGGAACACCAGUAGCGAAAGCGGUUCACUGGGCCUUUUCUGACGCUGAUGCACGAAAGCCAGGGGAGCGAACGGGAUUAGAUACCCGAGUAGUC
rnacentral:rRNA from 1 species